rnacentral:rRNA from 1 species
UACGGGGGGAGCAAGCGUUGUUCGGAUUUACUGGGUUUAAAGGGUGCGUAGGCGGCCCUGUAAGUCAGUGGUGAAAUACUCUAGCUUAACUAGAGGGGUGCCAAUGAUACUGCAGGGCUUGAGUACAGAUGAGGUAGGCGGAAUUGACGGUGUAGCGGUGAAAUGCAUAGAUAUCGUCAAGAACACCGAUAGCGAAGGCAGCUUACUGGGCUGUAACUGACGCUGAUGCACGAAAGUGUGGGGAUCAAACAGG